GAUGAGGUUAUGUUAUGUGAUCUGCUAGAUAAGUUUGAUUAGAUGUGGAUUGUUAUAUGAUUAUAUUUUUAUGUGCACAUGUUUGUUGGAUUGAGGUUGGGUUGAGGCGGGUCCUGCUUUGUGCUAUAGGCCAACAUACCCAGGGCAGACCGGGUAUCCCGAAGGCCUAGCAAGCGGUCCGGAUAGGCUGUAGGCCCCAUGAGGGUGGACCAGACGUACCGAGGCUCAGAGAGUGGACCAGUCGACUGAAGGCCCAGUGCGGGCGGACCAGUCAUACUGUAGACUCAGAGAGUGGACCAGGUGGGUUGAAGGCCCGGUGCGGGCGGACCAACCACACUGCAGACUCGAGGGAUAUGGCUAGACUCGGAGGGUGGACCAGGUGGACUGAAGGCCCAGUGCGGUGGACCAGUCACACAGUAGACCCGAAGUGCAUGGUUGUUCUGUGUUCUGUCAUGAUAUGGCAUGUUAUGUGUAUGGUAUAUGUGGUUGGUAUUUUAGGGGUAUCUCACUAAGCUUUCGGGCUUACAGUUGUGGUUUAAAUGUUUCAGGUACUUCAGGAGACCGUGGCAAGGCAAAGGCGUGAUCGAACCGCUCCUCAUGAUUAUGUUUUUAUGAUAUGGUUCUGGGAAGACUCUGAUAAUAAUUGUAUUGAAAACCUUUUUGUAAUAACUUAAUGAAACUGGGUUGUUUUUGAAAAGUUUAAAUUGUUUGGAAUUUUUAGAGUGUUACAAAUUGGUAUCAGAGCCUUGGUUUGAGUGAAUUGGAGGAACAUUAGUGUGAAUCCGGUCUCAAAUCAAGGAGAUUUUUCAAAAGAGAAUUUAAAAUGGUUUUCAAAAUGAGUAGAAGAGGACGCGGAGGUACGAUUAGCUGGAGCCAGUAAGUAACCCCAAAAUACCAUUCAAGAUAUUUGUUUUUGAGAUAUGAUAGAACAACAUGCUAGUACUAGGCUAGGGAUCUUCAGGAAUUUCAUGAUAGAGUUGCCUAAUUUAUGAUGCCUGCUAGCCUAGGGUUUCUUUCUAUAUGCGAUUUCUAGUGUUCCUCUAGGAGUGAGGGUUAAGUGCUUGUUAUGUAUGAUCAUCACUAGGGUGUUGUGGUGAUACUUGAUAUAAAUAUGGCUAGGUGUGGAAGGUAGUAUGGGCCCGUACUACUGAAAGCACAGGACCUAUACGCAUAUCAAGGAAGCCACAACCUCUAGGUUGGGGUUGGGAGUUGGUUCCCAGGGUUCUGGGAGAGCUUCUGAUGUUUUGUGGUAUUUUCAGUAUGGUGGUUACGAGGCAUGCUGGGAGCGGAUCUAGAUCAGGAUCGAGAGCAGGAGAGGGUGGUCAGGGUGGGUCAGUACCGCCUGAGGUUAUUGGUCAGAUGAGCACAGACGAGUUGGAUGCUAGGAUUCGUGAGAUCCUGCAUGAUAAGGUUGUUGCGUUGNGCCGAGUUGUCGGAACUAUUCGGGUCGAUCAAGACCGCUAUGAUUGAGUAUUUUGAUGAGCGCUAUGCGGCCCUCACAGAGAUGGCUGCUGCGGCGGCUAUAGCGGCUGUAGCAGCGGCAGGGGGAGGAUUCGGUAGAGGUUUUCAGUAUCGGGACUUCGAUAAUAUGAAGCCCCUACCUUCGAUGGAGUUUAGGACCCAGUUAUUGCUAUGAGAUGGUUGUCAGACGUGGAGGGUCGUUUCUUCACGUGUUCAUGCCCUGCUGAUCAGAGAGUGAGGUGUGCUCUGAACCUGUUGAGGCUCGGGGCGAAGGAUUUGUGGAGAUUGACCACGGGGUCAUAUUCGGAUGCGCAGAGGGCUGCGGUUUCAUGGGAUCAGUUCCGGGAGAUGUUCAGUACCCGUUAUGUUCCACAGGUUGAGAGGGAGAGGUUGGCUCAGGAGUUCCUGGAGCUAAAGCAGGAAUCAGAGUCGGUGACAGAGAUCACCAGGAUGUUCACUAAGAGGGUGAUGUUCUGCCCAGAGUUUGCUUUGGAGCAGACUCAGAUGUCCCGAUAUCUGAGUAUGCUCAAGAGGGAUACCAGGCAGUUUGUGUCUACGCAGAGGUGCGAGACAUUGUUGAUGUUGUAGGAAGCUGCUAGGCGGCGGGAGUUGGAGAUCGAGUUACAGUUGAGAUAGCAGAGACAGGCUCCGGUACAGUCGCAAUCGCCGCCGAAACGGUCUAAGACCGUUGAUUUCAGUUUGAGCAGUCAGAGUAGCCGCACUUGUGAGAAGUGUGGGAAGGGUCAUGCCGGAGCGUGUAAGUCUGGUGGUGCGUGCCGCAAGUGUGGGAGAGAGGGUCAUUAUGCGAGGGAUUGUCGGCAGACAGCCCCAUUUCUGGAAUUGAGGAUUUGCUAUCAUUGCCAUUAGGUUGGACACUUGAGGGUCAACUGUCCACAGCUUGCUAUAGGACCGGUGCAGGCUCCAACACCGACCACUUUGAGGAUUACGGGUGGAGGUCAGGGUGGAGCAGAGCCCCCGAGGGCUCAGGGUCGUGCUUUUCAACUUACAGCAGAGGAGGUCAGGGCAGUGCCUGAUGCAGCUGCUGGUAUGUCUCCUCCAUGAUAUUUUGUUAUCUUGUGAUUGUUAUGGAGUAUUGUAUAUCUGAUAGUCUCGUUGUGUGAUUUUGGUAUUGUAUUCGUUUGUUCCUUGAGGGUUAUGGUAUGGUUAAGGGUUUUGGUAUUGGGAGUUUCGUUGGUUAUCAUCCAUGGGAAUUAUUAGAGGGAAAUCUUGUUUUCGGUCUGAAUGUCGGGUAGCAUCUGCAGUCUGAGGAGUGGUUAGCUGAAGGUCAGGCUUCUUUCAUAUCCGAGAUGAUCAAUGUUGAUAUGUGAUUUUGUGAAGAUUGCUCGUUCUAGUGGGAAUCAGUUCGCGUGUAAGGGAAUCAGUUGUAAAGGGUUGUUAAGGGAGGUUAGUUAUGGAGACCGGUGGUGGAUAGCCAGUGCUCUAAGUGGGGAGAAUUGGAAAAUUGCCAGGAGGAUCGAUAAGCGUUAGAGUUCGAUUAGCUGGUUGGGAUCUAGCAGUGUUUCAGUCAGCCAAGAGUGUGGGAUGGUAUGAGUUAGUGACAGAUCGAUGGGGCGAAGUUCAGACCAAGGAUUUCGGAUAGAGUGAUUGGUGGUUGUAAGGCCUAGGAUCAGUCCGAGAUCUGAGUAUAUGGGAUGGAGUUAUAGUUUGGAACCCCUAGAGGGCUAGAACAGUAUGUAUGGGCAGAAUUCCCAGGAGGAAUAGUUCGGGAUGAUGCAUGAUAGUCUCAGAACAGUCCAGACAGGAUGAAGGCCCAAAGAGGCGGUCCAAACAUGCUGAAGGUUGUGAGAACGGUCCAGACAGGCUAAAGGCCCUGAGAGGCGGUCCAGACAUGCUGAAGGUUCUGAGAACGGUCCAGACAGGCUGAAGGCCAGGAGGGCGGUCUGGACAUGUUGAAGGUUCCGAGAGUGGUCCAGACAGGCUGAAGGCCUGGAGGGGCGGUCCAGCCAUGUUGAAGACUCUGUAUGUGUUAGUAGCUCGGUAUGACGAGAAUAAGGAAAUGCGUCGCCAGGGAAUGGUGACUGAUAUGGUCUGGCCCCAAGUGUUGAUCUAGUUAGUGGAAAGCAGUGCAUGGACUUGAGAGUCCUUGCGAGCGGAUUCAGAGCAUGUGCGAUGGACGCAUUAGCGGUUACUCUACAAGGGAUAGUGUAGAGUGGAGUGUGUACAUCGUGGCACUUGUUGUAGUGACAAGGCGGCCAAGUAGAUUUCCUUGGAUAAGGAAAGGGAAAGGUAUGUACCCCGAGAGGGAGUGUAAGUUCAUGGAAGUGAAAUAAGUAGCGCGGGGGUAUGAUUGAGGUGUUCCAAUUAUGGUUUUGAGCAGAGUGUUUGCGCCGGUGGUAUGGAGCACAUCCGGGUUGGAUGUCUUCUGAGAUCACGGAAGGAAUCCCGAGGGUGUAGAGCCAAAGAGGCUCGGAAAGGGAUAGCAGUUUGGUAUCGGAUCAGGACCCGGUGGUCUGGGGUGAUGUCUAGCUGUGUAAGGGUCAAGCGAUCGUUGUGCUUUGGGGCGAGUGAAGUAUCAGGGAAUGAUACUCUGUUGAUAAGUAUGGUUAUCAGAGGAUGAGGCGGUGGUCAGGACACCGCAGGGGAAGAGUUAGGUUUUGGGUUUCGGUGGUUGUGUUUUGAGGAAGCUGCUAUGGUUAAUGCGAGGUGGUGGAUUGCGAGAGUAGUUUCUGGAGUUGUGUUGCCGCAGGCUUCGAGGACGAAGCCUAAUUUAAGUGGGGGAGAAUUGUAACAUCCCGAGUUUAGGAGUGCAAGUUCAGGGUUCCAAGUGUAAAUGUGAAUGGUCAACUCGGCGAGUCCAUGGGUGAACUCGGCGAGUAGGGACGCGAUUCCGGUCGCGUGUUAAGUGGCCAACUCGACGAGUCGGUGGCUGGACUCGGCGAGGUGGUGCUGGGUGGAGAAAACCCUAAUCCCAGGGAUUGAGCCCUAUAUAAAGAACAUAAUACCCUCUCCUCAGCCUCUUUGCUCUCCCUUGAAGUCCGGAAACCCUAAUAUUCGUUGAGAGAGAAUUAGAAAGCAUUUGGAUCUUGAAGGAGUGUUGUUGAAGAGAUUUUUGAGGAUUAAGAGGCUUGGAGCAAGGGGCUUUACAAGGUUUUGGCUUAUUCUUCUGUUGGAGUCUUCUUUGGAGGUAAUGAUUCGUUCCUUGAGCUGUUAUUCAUCUAGAUCUAUCAUUUGUGGGAUUUUUGGGAAUAUAUCUAGUGCUAUAUUGAGUUUGGAGGUUGGAUCUAAGGUUUCUACCUUAGAUGAUGAUCCAAAAGAGCAUAAAGUCCCUGUUCAAGAGCUGUUGAUGAAACAUUUUAGUCCCAAACCUUAGCCAAGAGUGUAUUAUGAUUAGAUCCCCUUGGAUUCACAUAAAGUUUGCCACUUUACGUGAUGGAUGGCUAAUAUAGGAGUAGAUCUAUGGAUUUGAGACCCUACAUGGCUUGGAAAGCCUCUGUAUGGAUUAAGAACUAGAGGUACUCGGCGAGUCACAUGGGUGUACUCGACGAGUUGCAUGAAGAUAGGCAGCAACUCGACGAGUUGGAAGAACAACUUGGCGAGUUGGUUGAAGAUAGCCAUGGACUCGACGAGUCUGUUCUUGGACUCAGCGAGUCUGGUCGUGAGGUCCUAACUUUUUCUGGUUAUGCUGUGAAUUAGUGAGUCAAGGGAUGACUCAGUGAGUUGAGUACGGUAAGACUCAGAGUUGUGGGACUCGGCGAGUCUUGGGGAGACUUGGAGAGUUGAGUCGUGUUAUGGAAGUUUCAGAGCAUGGGGACUCGACGAGUCAGUGGGCUGACUCGGCGAGUAGAGUCAGUCAGGAGGUUUGACUUUGAUUGAGGACUUUGACUUCAACCAAGAGUUGACUAGUUGACUUCCAGGGGUAAUUUGGUAAUUAUGGGUAUUUAUUGAGUUCAGUCUUUUGGUAUUGAUCAGUGGUGGAGUUCGUGUCAGAGGUUGGAGCAGCGUGAUCUUAUCCUUUUAAGUCAGCAGUUGCGAGGUGAGUUAUCCUCACUAUAUCAACAGGGUCUAAGGCACCAAUGCCGGCCCUUUAUCGGAUUGUAAUCUGUGUAUCAUUGUUAUGUUGUUGUUUUGAUAUGUUUGCAUCCGGGAAGUUAGGAUGGUUUAUGUUAGAGACCUGGUUAAGGUCGGUAUCCUGGAAUAUAGGAUGAUGCUAUGCUAGUAACUGGUUAAGUCGGUAUCCUUGUUAGGAUGACGUUAUGUUAUGUGAUCUGCUAGAUCAGUUUGAUUGGAUGUGGAUUGUUAUAUGAUUAUAUGUUUAUGUGCACAUGGUUGUUGGAUUGGGGUUGGGUUGAGGCGGGUCUUGCUUUGUGCUGUAGGACAACAUACCUAGGGCGGACCGGUUAUCCCGAAGGCCCAGCGAGCAGUCGGAUAGGAUGUAGGCCCCACGAGGGCGGACCAGACGUGCCGAGGCUCGGAGAGUGGACCAGGCCGACUGAAGGCCCGGUGCGGGCGGACCAGUCAUACUUUAGACUCAGAGAGUAGACCAGUUGGGUUGAAGGCCCGGUGCGGGCGGGCCAACCACACUGCAGACUCGAUGGAUACAGCUAGACUCGGAGGGUGGACCAGGUGGACUGAAGGCCCGGUACGGCGGACCAGUCACACAGUAGACCCGAAGUGCAUGACUGUUCUGUGUUCUGUCAUAAUAUGGCAUGUUAUGUGUAUGGUAUAUGUGGCUGGUAUUUUGGGGGUAUCUUACUAAGCUUUCGGGCUUACAGUUGUGUGACAUCCCCAAAAUCUCGGCCAGAAAAGACCGAUUUCAUUUAUGCUUUGCAAAACAUUUUCAGAGUAAAUCCAUUUGAUUUUUUUAAAAGAGAUGCGGAAUUUGUUCCCAAAAACAAAAUAUGAUAAGAUAGAUAUUUAUCAAAACAUUUCAUAUAGAAAUAUGAUUUCAUUUCAUAAUCAAAAGUCGGAUGUCAUGUUCCGAUACAGAUCACAAAGCAUAAACGAUUACAUUACAAGUCAUUCAACAAAUAUAUACAUAUGCAGACUUGUAAACAAAAAAUCACUUGAUGAUUCGCCCAUCUUAAGCUCUUGCGCCACUUCCUGUAAUACAAUUAAACUGAGUGGGUCAGGCUUGGGAGCCUGGUGAGCAUAUAGGGUUUUCAAACCCACAAUAAUUAUAUUUAAUUUCAUCAAUCAACAAUAAACCCGAUUACCCAUUCCCGUUAUCCUCACCUUACGUUCCUAAAAAUAACGUCUAUUAUAAGGAACUUAUUUCAGGAUUUUCAUCGGGACGGACAUUACUGCAGAGGGGCUUCCUCAACAAUAAGUGUCCUAAAGGCAACCAUGUGGGGGAUAGAGUACACCGGUGAACACGUCGUUCACAACACCUACAGGUAAUGAGCCUGCUAGUGUUCCACAGGACAGUCUAGAAUAGUCCGUGGUCGUCAUCCAUACUCUGCUGAAUGACUAGAAUAACACCAAUAACACCGAGGCCUCUCAUCUGUUUAUUUCACACCAAUUAUCUACCCAUGUUCUACCCAACAUAUUAGUAGAUAAAAAUAUACAUUUUUAUACACUGUUUAAAAACCUGUAUAGCAUGCUUUAAUCAAUACAUAUUCCACAUAACAGAUGAGGCAUACACACAUAACACGUAUUUCAUAGAGAAUAUACAUUCACACAUAUAACCACAAAAUAUAUACACAUACCACGUAUUUUAUAUUAAAUACUUCAUAAUAUUGCAUUGGAGAGAAAAUAACUACACACUCACUUGAUCAGAAGAUGAUCCGACACUACUACGGCUUAUAGAAGUAGCGUCUCUCCGUAGAUCUGGAAGAUCUUCACAAAAACCGGGCUCCUCGCGGGCAGGGCUUCGGCUCGGAAAUAACGCUCUUCGGGAUCCUCGGGGCUUCGGAUCUCGCUUCGGGGCUCGGGAAUAAUACCGGGGCUUCGGGGUAUAAAUGGCACGCAAAUCGAGGCAAAAGAUGAGAGAAGAUGAAGAAUUUGUAAAAGAAAACUCGGCUGCUUCGGACCUCCUUUUAUAGGUGCUGAACCCUCGCACGUACGCGGGGCGUACGAGGCUACGCGGGGCGUACGCCUCGGUGGUCGUCAGCGCUUACGUCAUCGGGCCCUCUACGUCAUUGCUUACGACUUCGGACUACUCGAGUGCCCCUCGCUGUACGCGGGGCGUACAGCAGUACGCGCUGCGUACUUCGGAUAGACCGCCUCAUCCUUCUUCGGAUAAUAUCGGAGUUAAAUAAAAAUAAAUAUUAAAUAUUUAUUAAACUUCAAAAAUUCAUAUCUCCUUCAUACGAACUCCGUUUUCGACGUUCUUUAUAUCCACGCGAAGGUGAGACUACGCUCUACAACUUUCGUUUAGACUCCGUCGGCUAAUUUUGACUUUUAUUUUUAUUAAUUAUUUUUAGAAGGCUCGGACAGGAAAACUUCGUUAUAAAAUCAUAACUUCUUCGUCCGACGUCCGUUCUCGCCUAUCUUUUCAUCGUUUCGCUACUAACAACGAGAUCUUCGAUUCUCAUUUAGAUUGUUUCGGCUAGAAAUCGCUCGAUCUCAAAUCGAGUAUUCGGGCUGCAUACUGCCACGUCGAAACUUCAGAAAAUCAUAACUUCUUCAUACGAAGUCAGAUUUGGGCGUUUCUUUUACGGACGCUCUCGGUUUAAUGAAAUCUACGACUUUUGUUUAGAUCGCUAAGGCUAAAUAUCGCUCUAUCUUAAAUUCAUGUUUUACGUCACUCGGCGUCGUGCCGGUUCUGCCGCGAAACUUCGACAGGUCAUAACUUCUUUGUUAUAACUCGGAUUUUGGCAUUCCUUAUAUCUCCGGAAUCCUUGUUUCAACCACUACAACUUUAUGCAAAGAUAUCGGGCUUAUCUCACACUUUAAUUUUGACACUUAUUUUAUUCUUAAUUCAUUAAAUUAUAAUAAUUAAGAACACACACAUAAAUCACAUAAUUCACAUAAUUCACAAAUAAUACAUUUUAUUAUUUCAAAUUGGGGUUACAAAGGUUAACCUAGACUAUUACAUUGCUAAAAAUGGCAAGCCUAGAAACACUGGCGUUACAAGUUGUGGUUUAAAUGUUUCAGGUACUUCAUGAGACCGUGGCAAAGCAAAGGCAUGAUCGUACUGCUCCUCAUGAUUAUGUUUUUAUGAUAUGGUUUUGGGAAGACUCUGAUAAUAAUUGUAUUGAAAACCUUUUUGUAAUAACUUAAUGAAACUGGGUUGUUUUUGAAAAGUUUAAAUUGGUUGGAAUUUUUAGAGUGUUACA
rnacentral:lncRNA from 1 species